GCUGGCGGCGUGCUUAACACAUGCAAGUCGAACGGAAAGGCCCUUCGGGGUGCUCGAGUGGCGAACGGGUGAGUAACACGUGGGUGAUCUGCCCUGCACUUUGGGAUAAGCCUGGGAAACUGGGUCUAAUACCGAAUACACCCUGCUGGUCGCAUGGCCUGGUGGGGGAAAGCUUUUGCGGUGUGGGAUGGGCCCGCGGCCUAUCAGCUUGUUGGUGAGGUUACGGCUCACCAAGGCGACGACGGGUAGCCGGCCUGAGAGGGUGACCGGCCACACUGGGACUGAGAUACGGCCCAGACUCCUACGGGAGGCAGCAGUGGGGAAUAUUGCACAAUGGGCGCAAGCCUGAUGCAGCGACGCCGCGUGGGGGAUGACGGCCUUCGGGUUGUAAACCUCUUUCAGUAGGGACGAAGCGCAAGUGACGGUACCUACAGAAGAAGGACCGGCCAACUACGUGCCAGCAGCCGCGGUAAUACGUAGGGUCCGAGCGUUGUCCGGAAUUACUGGGCGUAAAGAGCUCGUAGGUGGUUUGUCGCGUUGUUCGUGAAAACCGGGGGCUUAACCCUCGGCGUGCGGGCGAUACGGGCAGACUUGAGUAUUGCAGGGGAGACUGGAAUUCCUGGUGUAGCGGUGGAAUGCGCAGAUAUCAGGAGGAACACCGGUGGCGAAGGCGGGUCUCUGGGCAGUAACUGACGCUGAGGAGCGAAAGCGUGGGGAGCGAACAGGAUUAGAUACCCUGGUAGUCCACGCCGUAAACGGUGGGUACUAGGUGUGGGUUUCCUUCCUUGGGAUCCGUGCCGUAGCUAACGCAUUAAGUACCCCGCCUGGGGAGUACGGCCGCAAGGCUAAAACUCAAAGAAAUUGACGGGGGCCCGCACAAGCGGCGGAGCAUGUGGAUUAAUUCGAUGCAACGCGAAGAACCUUACCUGGGUUUGACAUGCACAGGACGCUGGUAGAGAUAUCAGUUCCCUUGUGGCCUGUGUGCAGGUGGUGCAUGGCUGUCGUCAGCUCGUGUCGUGAGAUGUUGGGUUAAGUCCCGCAACGAGCGCAACCCUUGUCUCAUGUUGCCAGCACGUUAUGGUGGGGACUCGUGAGAGACUGCCGGGGUCAACUCGGAGGAAGGUGGGGAUGACGUCAAGUCAUCAUGCCCCUUAUGUCCAGGGCUUCACACAUGCUACAAUGGCCGGUACAAAGGGCUGCGAUGCCGUGAGGUGGAGCGAAUCCUUUCAAAGCCGGUCUCAGUUCGGAUCGGGGUCUGCAACUCGACCCCGUGAAGUCGGAGUCGCUAGUAAUCGCAGAUCAGCAACGCUGCGGUGAAUACGUUCCCGGGCCUUGUACACACCGCCCGUCACGUCAUGAAAGUCGGUAACACCCGAAGCCGGUGGCCUAACCCC
rnacentral:rRNA from 1 species